rnacentral:rRNA from 1 species
CCUACGGGUGGCAGCAGUGGGGAAUAUUGGACAAUGGGGGCAACCCUGAUCCAGCCAUGCCGCGUGUGUGAAGAAGGCCCUCGGGUUGUAAAGCACUUUCAGUGAGGAAGAACGCCUGGUGGUUAAUACCCAUCAGGAAAGACAUCACUCACAGAAGAAGCACCGGCUAACUCCGUGCCAGCAGCCGCGGUAAUACGGAGGGUGCGAGCGUUAAUCGGAAUUACUGGGCGUAAAGCGCGCAUAGGUGGCUUGAUAAGCCGGUUGUGAAAGCCCCGGGCUCAACCUGGGAACGGCAUCCGGAACUGUCCAGCUAGAGUGCAGGAGAGGAAGGUAGAAUUCCCGGUGUAGCGGUGAAAUGCGUAGAGAUCGGGAGGAAUACCAGUGGCGAAGGCGGCCUUCUGGACUGACACUGACACUGAGGUGCGAAAGCGUGGGUAGCAAACAGGAUUAGAUACCCGAGUAGUC